rnacentral:lncRNA from 1 species
AUGUUAACCUUUCCUCUGUUCUUCCCAUGUAAAAGAGAGAGUGACCACUUUGACCUGACAGCCAUUAAUUUACCAGGCAACACGGAUCUCCGCAGUGAUUCCUUGUACGUGUGUGACCCCAGGUGUUCUUAUUAUAGUGGUUCUUGGCCACAAAGAUUUCCAUUCAAAAGGACUGAGCCUGGGAUCCUGGAAGCUGCAUCUUUUGCUAAAGCGUCCCAGCGACGUCUACGUGGAAUGGGGAUAGCCUGGAGCCUGCUUUUGUGCGGUGACAUCUACGUGGAAUGGGGGUGGCCGAAAGAGUCAAGUGGCCCAGGAGAUGAAUACUGCCAAAGCUCACCAGUUGAGAAACUCUGGGUGAACGGCAGGAGGAGAGGGAGUUUGGGGGACAGAUUAGAUGUCACCUUGGGAAUGAUGUCACACUGUUCCUGGAGUGUCAGCACUAUAGAUACUAAUAUUAAUGGUGGAUGAUAUUAGUACCGAAUAGUUGCUACUUUGUCAGGUGGAGGUAAGAAAAGAAUCCAAAUUUUUCCCAGCCCCAGCAAUAUCUUAUUUAACCUCUACACCAAGCUUUUAUUUUUUUAUUUAUUUUUUAUUUUUUGUAUUUUGAAUUUCCAGUUUUUUGUUUGUUUAUUUUUAAUAUAUGUUUUAAAUUUAUACCCAAGUUAGUUAGCAUAUAGUGCAACAACAAUUUCAGGAGUAGAUUCCUUAAUGCCCCUUACCCAUUUAGCCCAUCCCCCCUCCCACAACCCCUUCAGUAACCCUCUGUUUGUUCUCCAUAUUUAAGAGUCUCUUGGGGCGCCUGGGUGGUGCAGUCGGUUGAGCGUCCGACUUCAGCCAGGUCACGAUCUCGCGGUCCGGGAGUUCGAGCCCCGCGUCAGGCUCUGGGCUGAUGGCUCAGAGCCUGGAGCCUGUUUCCGAUUCUGUGUCUCCCUCUCUCUCUGCCCCUCCCCUGUUCAUGCUCUGUCUCUCUCUGUCCCAAAAAUAAAUAAACGUUGAAAAAAAAAUUUUAUAAAAAA